CCUACGGGUGGCAGCAGUGAGGAAUAUUGGUCAAUGGCCGAGAGUCUGAACCAGCCAAGUCGCGUGAAGGAUGACUGCCCUAUGGGUUGUAAACUUCUUUUAUCUGGGAAUAAAAUGUUCCACGUGUGGCAUUUUGUGUGUACCCUAUGAAUAAGCAUCGGCUAACUCCGUGCCAGCAGCCGCGGUAAUACGGAGGAUCCGAGCGUUAUCCGGAUUUAUUGGGUUUAAAGGGUGCGUAGGCGGAUGGUGAAGUCAGGUGGUAAAGUUGGGGGCUCAACCGUAGAAUUGCCGUUGAAACUGGAAGUCUUGAGUACAGGAGAGGUAUGCGGAAUGCGUGGUGUAGCGGUGAAAUGCAUAGAUAUCACGAAGAACUCCGAUUGCGAAGGCAGCACACCGGAGUGCAACUGACGCUGAUGCACGAAAGUGUGGGUAUCGAACAGGAUUAGAUACCCCAGUAGUC
rnacentral:rRNA from 1 species